rnacentral:rRNA from 1 species
GACGAACGCUGGCGGCGUGCUUAACACAUGCAAGUCGAACGGACAGGCCCUGCUCUUGUGGGGUGCUCGAUUGCCGAACGGGUGAGUAACACGUGAGUAACCUGCACCUGUCUUUGGGAUAACUUUAGGAAACUGGGGCUAAUACCGGAUAGGAGCUCCUGCUGCAUGGUGGGGGUUGGAAAGUUUCGGCGGUUGGGGCUGGACUCGCGGCUUAUCAGCUUGUUGGUGGGGUAGUGGCUUACCAAGGCUUUGACGGCUAGCCGGCCUGGGAGGGUGACCGGCCACAUGGGGACUGAGGUACGGCCCAGACUCCUACGGGAGGCAACAGGGGGGAAUAUUGCGCAAUGAGCGGGAGCGUGAGGCGGCAACGCCGCGUGCGUGAUAACGGCCUACGAGGUAAAAACCGAUUUCGCCUGUGACGAAGCGUGAGUGACGGUAAUGAGUAAGAAAGCACCGGCUAACUACGUG